rnacentral:rRNA from 1 species
AGUGAACGCUGGCGGUAGGCCUAACACAUGCAAGUCGAACGGCAGCACAGUAAGAGCUUGCUCUUACGGGUGGCGAGUGGCGGACGGGUGAGGAAUACAUCGGAAUCUACUUUUUCGUGGGGGAUAACGUAGGGAAACUUACGCUAAUACCGCAUACGACCUACGGGUGAAAGCAGGGGAUCUUCGGACCUUGCGCGAUUGAAUGAGCCGAUGUCGGAUUAGCUAGUUGGCGGGGUAAAGGCCCACCAAGGCGACGAUCCGUAGCUGGUCUGAGAGGAUGAUCAGCCACACAGGAACUGAGACACGGUCCAGACUCAUACGGGAGGCAGCAGUGGGGAAUAUGGGACAAUGGGCGCAAGCCUGAUCCAGCCAUACCGCGUGGGUGAAGAAGGCCUUCGGGUUGUAAAGCCCUUUUGUUGGGAAAGAAAAGCAGCAGGUUAAUACCCCGCUGUUCUGACGGUACCCAAAGAAUAAGCACCGGCGAACUGCGU